rnacentral:tRNA from 1 species
GGGCUCGUAGCUCAGUUGGUAGAGCAGCGGACUUUUAAUCCGCGGGUCCACGGUUCGAGUCCGUGCGGGCUCA